rnacentral:rRNA from 1 species
UAACGACUCUCGGCAACGGAUAUCUCGGCUCUGGCAUCGAUGAAGAACGUAGCGAAAUGCGAUACUUGGUGUGAAUUGCAGAAUCCCGUGAACCAUCGAGUCUUUGAACGCAAGUUGCGCCCGACGCCUUCUGGCCGAGGGCAUGUCUGCCUGGGCGUCACGC